GACUAGUGUUCAUAAAAUGGGAACAAUGUCGUAUCAUAAGAGACUAAAAUAUCUAUUUUCAGAGACCAUCCAGCCUCUUCUACUCUCAUCAAUUUGCGUGUUUUCCUGCUUCCAGAAACCAUCUAGCAUCUUUUACUAUCAUUUGCGUGUUUGAUUAGAUCUCCGGUUCUCUCUCCCUCUCUCUCAUUUUAUACUAUCGAAUCAAUUACUUCAUAAUAAUUGUGAUUAUUCUUGUUAAUCAUGCAUAUACGUGUAGAGCUAUGACGAUAAAGGACCUGUCAUAGAUGCUGUUGUAUGGCAUGAUGGAGAAGUUUGGAGGGCUGCUCUUGACACACACUGUUUUGAAGAUGAACCCGGAUGCGGGAAGCUUGCUAACUUUGUUCCUUUAACUAAUUUUAGGGGUGAGGUGCACGUCUCACUGAUGAACCUUAUGGAUAAAUUAUUGUUUGCAUCAUAUGCAGAUAGCAGAUCCAGCUAGAUUCAUAUUCGAAGAGACUUGACAGCCAUUAAAAUUGGAAGAUAUCGUUUCCGAAGUGAAAAUACUAAAAUUUUCGAUGUUAAUUAAACUGUGUUAUCUUCAGUCAACUUAUGCCGAACCACGUGGCACUCAAGUCGAGGUGAUUUGCAUACCCGAGGCCCACAAUCGAGGUCCACAAAAGGUGAGGCCCAUCUAUCAUUGCCUCUUGAGGAGCUACCGAAGCCCAUAUGCCGAGGCCCUUUGAAGGUGGACGAGGCCCUGUUGGUCGAAGCUCUGUAACCGAGGUAGCAGCCUCCGAAUCAUAAAGCAGCAUCUUCCAUAGAUGCUUUUCCCAAGAGAUUCUCAGCACAAAGAUCUUAUUUGAAUGAUUGAUAGGACGUUUGUCAUGAGUGUAAAUGUUAAGUCUUAUCACUAGUAGAGGUGGCUCUGCCAAUCAAUAAAUGUAUAGCAGGCUAGGUGUGGUUGAGCUUACAGUUUGACAUGUAAAUUAACCGGAUGAGGUCACGUGUACCCCGAACCAAAGGUUACGAUCUAACUUGUGACACUAUAAAUGCU